rnacentral:rRNA from 1 species
CCUACGGGUGGCAGCAGUGAGGAAUAUUGGUCAAUGGGCGGGAGCCUGAACCAGCCAAGUCGCGUGAAGGAAGAAGGUACUUAGUAUUGUAAACUUCUUUUGUCGGGGAACAAAGGCGGAGACGCGUCUCCGGAUGAGUGUACCCGAAGAAAAAGCAUCGGCUAACUCCGUGCCAGCAGCCGCGGUAAUACGUAGGUGGCAAGCGUUAUCCGGAUUUACUGGGUGUAAAGGGCGUGUAGGCGGGACUGCAAGUCAGAUGUGAAAACCACGGGCUCAACCUGUGGCCUGCAUUUGAAACUGUAGUUCUUGAGUACUGGAGAGGCAGACGGAAUUCCUAGUGUAGCGGUGAAAUGCGUAGAUAUUAGGAGGAACACCAGUGGCGAAGGCGGUCUGCUGGACAGCAACUGACGCUGAGGCGCGAAAGCGUGGGGAGCAAACAGGAUUAGAUACCCCUGUAGUC